AUAAUGGGUCAGCGACUUAUAUUCUGUAGCAAGGUUAACCGAAUAGGGGAGCCGAAGGGAAACCGAGUCUUAACUGGGCGUUAAGUUGCAGGGUAUAGACCCGAAACCCGGUGAUCUAGCCAUGGGCAGGUUGAAGGUUGGGUAACACUAACUGGAGGACCGAACCGACUAAUGUUGAAAAAUUAGCGGAUGACUUGUGGCUGGGGGUGAAAGGCCAAUCAAACCGGGAGAUAGCUGGUUCUCCCCGAAAGCUAUUUAGGUAGCGCCUCGUGAAUUCAUCUCCGGGGGUAGAGCACUGUUUCGGCAAGGGGGUCAUCCCGACUUACCAACCCGAUGCAAACUGCGAAUACCGGAGAAUGUUAUCACGGGAGACACACGGCGGGUGCUAACGUCCGUCGUGAAGAGGGAAACAACCCAGACCGCCAGCUAAGGUCCCAAAGUCAUGGUUAAGUGGGAAACGAUGUGGGAAGGCCCAGACAGCCAGGAUGUUGGCUUAGAAGCAGCCAUCAUUUAAAGAAAGCGUAAUAGCUCACUGGUCGAGUCGGCCUGCGCGGAAGAUGUAACGGGGCUAAACCAUGCACCGAAGCUGCGGCAGCGACGCUUAUGCGUUGUUGGGUAGGGGAGCGUUCUGUAAGCCUGUGAAGGUGUACUGUGAGGUAUGCUGGAGGUAUCAGAAGUGCGAAUGCUGACAUAAGUAACGAUAAAGCGGGUGAAAAGCCCGCUCGCCGGAAGACCAAGGGUUCCUGUCCAACGUUAAUCGGGGCAGGGUGAGUCGACCCCUAAGGCGAGGCCGAAAGGCGUAGUCGAUGGGAAACAGGUUAAUAUUCCUGUACUUGGUGUUACUGCGAAGGGGGGACGGAGAAGGCUAUGUUGGCCGGGCGACGGUUGUCCCGGUUUAAGCGUGUAGGCUGGUUUUCCAGGCAAAUCCGGAAAAUCAAGGCUGAGGCGUGAUGACGAGGCACUACGGUGCUGAAGCAACAAAUGCCCUGCUUCCAGGAAAAGCCUCUAAGCAUCAGGUAACAUCAAAUCGUACCCCAAACCGACACAGGUGGUCAGGUAGAGAAUACCAAGGCGCUUGAGAGAACUCGGGUGAAGGAACUAGGCAAAAUGGUGCCGUAACUUCGGGAGAAGGCACGCUGAUAUGUAGGUGAAGUCCCUCGCGGAUGGAGCUGAAAUCAGUCGAAGAUACCAGCUGGCUGCAACUGUUUAUUAAAAACACAGCACUGUGCAAACACGAAAGUGGACGUAUACGGUGUGACGCCUGCCCGGUGC
rnacentral:rRNA from 1 species